UAAUAAGUGUUUUAUGGCACUUUUUAAAUCCAUAUCCACCUUGUGUGCAAUGUCAGUCGAUCUUCUUCAUGGAGAUCGACCAAACAUCAACCUUUAUUUUUUAUCUCUUUGUCUGAAAAAUAUUAUGAAUAAACAAUUCAAAAUA
rnacentral:misc_RNA from 1 species